GUCGCGAUAGCCAAGCGGUUAGGCAGAGGUCUGCAAAACCUUUCAGGUGGGUUCAACUCCCACUCGCGACU
rfam:Microgenomates (Shapirobacteria) bacterium GW2011_GWE2_38_30 TS90_C0001, whole genome shotgun sequence.